rnacentral:lncRNA from 1 species
GAUGCACCUACGCAACAUCAAAAACAUGUGUUGCAUUGAAAAACGUUGUAGUAGGUCAAAAAUUUAUGCUUACAGCAACAUUGUGUUUAUAACGUUGCAGUAUACAUAAAUGGGAUGUUGUGAUAGGUUUAAGAAAUGUUACACAUUUCAACACUUAUGAAGUAUUGCCAUUAACAUUAUUUUUUAGUGAUAAUAAUAAUAAAAUAAAUAAUUAUAUUUUGAAA